GUGAAUCAUCGAAUUUUUGAACGCAAAUUGCACUCUCCUCUAUUCCGAUGAGUAUGCCUGUGUGAGGCUCUGAUUAAAUAAAAAUCGUUGUGGUUGCUGCCUUUCGUGGUGACGCACCGGAUUUGCUUCGUCCUUCUGUCUUUUAAGGAACCUAAAAUUUUGCAUGGUUUUUUUCGAACGUAUUUAAAUGAUUUUACGUACAUUUUCGAUAUCGAGUACUAUGUGUGGUGAUACUAAUGA
rnacentral:misc_RNA from 1 species